UCACCUUUCUUUUUUUAUAGAACAGCAAUUUUAAACACUGAUUGAUUUCUCUUUCAGUUGCAGGUGGCAGUACAUGUCACUUUCGCCAAAUUAUCUUUCACAUUAUCUUCCCCCAUCAUUUCAGAUGUUAUCUUGAAGGUGGCCGUAAACACCAGUCAUCACGAAGUGACUCAUCUACCAAGCACAAUAAAUAGCUAACAUAUUACAGGAAAGAACACACAAUGAAAAUAGGCCAGAAUCAAUUUCAAUUCAUUUAUUUGUCUUCAAAGCAAGAUGAAGAGGGGGUGUGUUUUCAAAAUGGGCACUGUGAUUAAAACAA